ACCGUGGAGGGAAAGUUGAAAAGAACUUUGAAGAGAGAGUUCAAGAGUACGUGAAACCGUUCAGGGGUAAACCUGAGAAACCCAAAAGAUCGAAUGGGGAGAUUCAUCGCAAACGGAGUUGAUUCCUUUGUGGUAAGCGAUGGCCGGUACUUCGGUCCCGGUCACGCUAUCGCGGAGGUAUCAUCGGCUACGUCAGCGUGCACUUCUCCCCUAGUAGGACGUCGCGACCCGUUGGGUGCCGGCCUACGGCCCGAAUGGUCGACUGCCGCUUGGCGUUCACGCGCUUCUCGCGGCAGACCUUCGGUCGCCCGGCCGGCUGCUCGGCGGUAAUGAUUUAUUAUUAAACGGUAUUGAGCCGCAUUAUGUGCGUCUUGGCUCGUCGGCAGGCUCAUCUCGCUCGGAUUUACGGACCAAGUGCCGUUGCCGGGCGCUUGAUGUGGCCGUUAGUCGACGAUGUCCUCGGACUGGCUCUUACAUUCGAACGGAUGUACCGGUCAGCGACGCUACUGCUUUGGGUACUUUCAGGACCCGUCUUGAACACCGGACCAAA
rnacentral:rRNA from 1 species